rnacentral:ncRNA from 1 species
CUUAUCAAGAGCGGCGGAGGGAACGGCCCGAUGAAGCCCGGCAACCUGCGGAGGAAGGAAAACUCUGCAAGGUGCUAAAUCCGGCGGCAGUGGAUCGAAAGAUGAGG